rnacentral:lncRNA from 1 species
GAAGGAGGAGGCGCGGGGGCGCGGGGGCGAGAGGCUGGAGACCCGGCUUCAGGGAGUGCGUGUCGGGAGGCGAAGGCUGGAGAAGAGGAUCGGCGAGGUCCACAAGGACCCCAGCGUGCGCUCUUUAUCUUCCCCUAUUCUGCUUCUUAAUUCCUUCCCGCCUUGUCUUCCCUCUCUUUUCAGCCCGGGCCUGGAGCCCCAGACGCUGCGUCACAGCUUCUCCUGCUGGCUCGAGAGGCGAAGCAACUGCAAAACUUUCUGCAGAACUUCACCGCGUGGCGAAACCUGGGCGGCUCAUGUGUGUGACCCUUGUGUCAGUGUCCCUGGCACAAAGAAUGUAACACUUGAGCUGAUAGGGGCCUCUACAUCCAGAGACCUGGGACAAAAGCAGACCACUGGAUGUCCCAGAAGACCUACAUCAUUCCCACCAGCUGGGCUGCUGGCCGGUAGCAAAGAACAAAACGGAAAUUUCAUGAAGACAAUCCAGUUACUUAGCAUUAUGCAACAGGUCAGAUGGCAGCGUAGAGCACUGGACCGAGAAUCUGGAUUUUGGAGGGCAGCCGAAACCUACCUCUGAUUUCCCAAACAGUCUCGAAAGCGAUGCUUGGGAACUCCGGCUGAGGAGAGCAGGGUUGAGACUUCUGGAUUCCAACAGCACAAAGCAGACUCACCUUUUCCCAUCACAAGUGAUCAAAACACUGUAAAACUGUAAUGUAAGUUUUAUUGUUUCCUGCACUAGCCACUGCGGGCUUUUUGGGAAAUAACAGACGUGACUUUUCAUGGCUCCUGCUGUAGGCAAUCUUUCAGUGUCUGCAAUAAAGAAUCGGCUCCAGGGAGGCUCCUCCUUGGCCCUUCUGUGCUCUGCAAACUGAGAUUCUUGGCUUAAUACAGCCCACUGAUUGCAGGUUCCCCCAAAAGAGCACCUGCAGGCCCCUGGAAAGGUUCCACUAGCCACAGCCCUGACUGUCAGCCAAGUGAACAAAGCCCCUUACCCUAAGGCUAACUU